rnacentral:misc_RNA from 1 species
GAUGAAGAACGUAGCGAAAUGCGAUAAGUAAUGUGAAUUGCAGAAUUCAGUGAAUCAUCGAAUCUUUGAACGCACAUUGCGCCCGCCAGCACUCUGGCGGGCAUGCCUGUCCGAGCGUCAUUUACCACCAUCGGGCCCCCUUGGGGGCCCGGUGCUGGGGGCACGGCCCAGGCCGCCCCCGAAAUGCAGUGGCGACCCCGCCGCGUCCUCCCCUGCGCAGUAGCACAAUCUCGCACCGGAAGCGCGGAGGCGGUCACGCCUGGAAACGCCCCAACUCAACGCAGUUGACCUCGGAUCAGGUAGGAGUACCCGCUGAACUUAAGCAUAUCAAUAAGCGGAGGA